GUGGGGAAUCUUCCACAAUGGACGAAAGUCUGAUGGAGCAACGCCGCGUGAGUGAAGAAGGGUUUCGGCUCGUAAAGCUCUGUUGUCGGGGACGAAUGUGCAGUAUUUGAAUAAAGUAGUGCAAUGACGGUACCUGACGAGGAAGCCACGGCUAACUACGUGCCAGCAGCCGCGGUAAUACGUAGGUGGCAAGCGUUGUCCGGAAUUAUUGGGCGUAAAGGGAGCGCAGGCGGGAAGGUAAGUCGGUACUGAAAGUGCGGGACUCAACCCCGUGAUGGGAUCGAAACUAUCUUUCUUGAGUGCAGGAGAAGAAGGUGGAAUUCCUAGUGUAGCGGUGAGAUGCGUAGAUAUUAGGAGGAACACCAGUGGCGAAGGCGACUUUCUGGACUGUAACUGACGCUGAGGCUCGAAAGCCAGGGGAGCGAACGGGAUUAGAAACCCUUGUAGUCC
rnacentral:rRNA from 1 species